rnacentral:ncRNA from 1 species
AAAAAGCUCGUAGUUGGAUUUUGGGCGCAGGCGGCCGGUCCGUCGCAAGGCGUGUACUGGACGUCCUGGCCUUCCCUCCGGUUCUCCGCCGGUGCUCUUGACUGAGUGUCGGCGGCGGCCGGAACGUUUACUUUGAAAAAAUUAGAGUGUUCAAAGCAGGCUCUCGAGCCUGGAUAAUGGUGCAUGGAAUAAUGGAAUAGGACCUCGGUUCUAUUUUGUUGGUUUUCGGAGCGCGAGGUAAUGAUUAAGAGGGACAGACGGGGGCAUUCGUACUGUGCCGUUAGAGGUGAAAUUCUUGGAUCGGCGCAAGACGAACGACUGCGAAAGCAUUUGCCAAGAAUGUUUUCUUUAAUCAAGAGCGAAAGUCAGAGGUUCGAAGACGAUCAGAUACCGUCCUAGUUCUGACUAUAAACGAUGCCAACUAGCGAUCGGGGGGCGUUACAUUGACGACCCCUCCGGCAGCUUACGGGAAACCAAAGUCUUUGGGUUCCGGGGGAAGUAUGGUUGCAAAGCUGAAACUUAAAGGAAUUGACGGAAGGGCACCACCAGGAGUGGAGCCUGCGGCUUAAUUUGCCUCAACACGGGAAAUCUCACCCGGCCCGGACACAGUGAGGAUUGACAGAUUGAGAGCUCUUUCUUGAUUCUGUGGGUGGUGGUGCAUGGCCGUUCUUAGUUGGUGGAGCGAUUUGUCUGGUUAAUUCCGAUAACGAACGAGACUCUG